rnacentral:rRNA from 1 species
CAGCAGCCGCGGUAAUACGGAGGAUCCAAGCGUUAUCCGGAAUCAUUGGGUUUAAAGGGUCCGUAGGCGGUCUUGUAAGUCAGUGGUGAAAGCCCAUCGCUCAACGGUGGAACGGCCAUUGAUUCUGCAGGACUUGAAUUAUUGGGAAGUAACUAGAAUAUGUAGUGUAGCGGUGAAAUGCUUAGAGAUUACAUGGAAUACCAAUUGCGAAGGCAGGUUACUACCAAUUGAUUGACGCUGAUGGACGAAAGCGUGGGUAGCGAACAGGAUUAGAUACCCCCGUAGUCCCUGUCUCUUAUAC